AGANCGCAGCGAAAUGCGAUACCUAGUGUGAAUUGCAGAAUUCCGCGAAUCAUCGAGUCUUUGAACGCAUAUUGCGCCCGAGGCUCGCGCCGAGGGCACGUCUGUCUGAGCGUCA
rnacentral:rRNA from 1 species